AACGAACGCUGGCGGCAUGCCUAACACAUGCAAGUCGAACGAACCCUUCGGGGUUAGUGGCGCACGGGUGCGUAACGCGUGGGAAUCUGCCCUUUGCUUCGGAAUAACAGUUAGAAAUGACUGCUAAUACCGGAUGAUGUCUUCGGACCAAAGAUUUAUCGGCAAAGGAUGAGCCCGCGUAGGAUUAGGUAGUUGGUGGGGUAAAGGCCUACCAAGCCGACGAUCCUUAGCUGGUCUGAGAGGAUGAUCAGCCACACUGGGACUGAGACACGGCCCAGACUCCUACGGGAGGCAGCAGUGGGGAAUAUUGGACAAUGGGCGAAAGCCUGAUCCAGCAAUGCCGCGUGAGUGAUGAAGGCCUUAGGGUUGUAAAGCUCUUUUACCCGGGAUGAUAAUGACAGUACCGGGAGAAUAAGCUCCGGCUAACUCCGUGCCAGCCGCCGCCGUAAGAC
rnacentral:rRNA from 1 species